AACGAACGCUGGCGGCAUGCUUAACACAUGCAAGUCGAACGAGACCUUCGGGUCUAGUGGCGCACGGGGGCGUAACGCGUGGGAACCUGCCCUUAGGUUCGGAAUAACUCCCCGAAAGGGGUGCUAAUACCGGAUAAGGUCAUCGGACCAAAGAUUUAUCGCCUUUGGAUGGGCCCGCGUUAGAUUAGCCAGUUGGUAGGGUAAAAGCCUACCAACGCGACGAUCCAUAGCUGGUCUGAGAGGAUGAUAAGCUACACUGGGACUGAGACACGGCCCAGUCUCCUACGGGAGGCAGCAGUGGGGAAUAUUGUACGAUGGGCGAAGACCUGAUCCAGCAAUGCCGCGUGAGUGAUGAAGGCCUUAGUGUUGUAAAGCUCUUUUACCCGGGAUGAUAAUGACAGUACCGGGAGAAUAAGCUCCGGCUAACUCCGUG
rnacentral:rRNA from 1 species